AACCGGAUUAGAUACCCUGGUAGUCCACGCCGUAAAACGAUUCGACUUGGAGGUUGUUCCCUUGAGGAGUGGCUUCCGGAGCUAACGCGUUAAGUCGACCGCCUGGGGAGUACGGCCGCAAGGUUAAAACUCAAAUGAAUUGACGGGGGCCCGCACAAGCGGUGGAGCAUGUGGUUUAAUUCGAUGCAACGCGAAGAACCUUACCUACUCUUGACAUCCAGCGAACUUAGCAGAGAUGCUUUGGUGCCUUCGGGAACGCUGAGACAGGUGCUGCAUGGCUGUCGUCAGCUCGUGUUGUGAAAUGUUGGGUUAAGUCCCGCAACGAGCGCAACCCUUAUCCUUUGUUGCCAGCGAUUCGGUCGGGAACUCAAAGGAGACUGCCGGUGAUAAACCGGAGGAAGGUGGGGAUGACGUCAAGUCAUCAUGGCCCUUACGAGUAGGGCUACACACGUGCUACAAUGGCGCAUACAAAGAGAAGCGACCUCGCGAGAGCAAGCGGACCUCACAAAGUGCGUCGUAGUCCGGAUCGGAGUCUGCAACUCGACUCCGUGAAGUCGGAAUCGCUA
rnacentral:rRNA from 1 species